GAUGAAUUUGGUUGAAGAAGAACAUGUUGAACCACCAAGAUUUUGGCAAAUAGUUACCACAGCUGCUCAUAUUCAAGGCAGAGGUGUUUUGGUACUAUAUACAUUCUCCACAAUUCAUUUACUUUGAUUUUUACCAUUACUAUGACAUUUUGUUCAACUCGCCUGCUAAUUUACUUUUUACUUCUUUUACUGGCCAGCAUUUUCCCCGCAGUAUCGUGACUAACUAUUUGCCUCAUCAGCAACAACAUAUUAAUAUAGUUUUACAUAACUCAAAUAUUUCUGUCAACUGUACUAUCAAAACAUCACAAAGGAAUUGGAACGAGAGGUAUCUAUCUCAAGAGUGGGUUGCAUUUCUCAAUGAAGCUAAUAUCAAAGUCAACUACAGACUUAAGUUAACUCUUUCAAAUCCACCGGAUGUUUUGAGUGUUGAAAUCAUCAAUUAAGAUGCAUAAUUCUAUGUUGGUCAUUUUGUUUAAUUUAUCUCACUUUAAGAACCAUGUAAUGUUUUAUUAUAUUUAGGUUUGUUUAACUUUCAAUUUUUAUUGUAAGAACCAUGUGUUGUUCUAAUCAUAGACCUAUAUAAUUAUUAUCCCC
rnacentral:lncRNA from 1 species